CUAGUAGCUCUGUCUACGAUAGGUAUAACGGUCCGUCAUACGACAGGCACAGGAGUCCUGUAUAUGGGAGGUACAGAAGCAGAUCGCCCAUCCGGAGGUCAAGAACUUGAUGGAAGCAUGAGAAUGGAAUUUGCACAUGAUCUGCUCUCUUAUGCUAUAUAGCAAAUGAGAAAGCUGUACCUUUAGAUACAUCACUUAGAAGAACAAACUUGACUAUUUAACUUUCGGACGACAAUCGUCGAGUUCCUUGGAUGUUUGUUGGUUUGUCUGGAGAAGUUUAGUUCAAGUUACUUCGAUUGGAUGAAAAUUUGGUUUUUAUCUCCUUAA